rnacentral:rRNA from 1 species
GAUGAACGCUGGCGGCGUGCCUAAUACAUGCAAGUCGAGCGAACAGACGAGGAGCUUGCUCCUCUGACGUUAGCGGCGGACGGGUGAGUAACACGUGGAUAACCUACCUAUAAGACUGGGAUAACUUCGGGAAACCGGAGCUAAUACCGGAUAAUAUAUUGAACCGCAUGGUUCAAUAGUGAACGACGGUUUUGCGGUCACUUAUAGAUGGAUCCGCGCCGCAUUAGCUAGUUGGUAAGGUAACGGCUUACCAAGGCAACGAUCCGUAGCCGACCUGAGAGGGUGAUCGGCCACACUGGAACUGAGACACGGUCCAGACUCCUACGGGAGGCAGCAGUAGGGAAUCUUCCGCAAUGGGCGAAAGCCUGACGGAGCAACGCCGCGUGAGUGAUGAAGGUCUUCGGAUCGUAAAACUCUGUUAUUAGGGAAGAACAAAUGUGUAAGUAACUAUGCACGUCUUGACGGUACCUAAUCAGAAAGCCACGGCUAACUACGUG